GACGAACGCUGGCGGCGUGCCUAAUACAUGCAAGUCGAGCGAAGUUUUUCUGGUGCUUGCACUAGAAAAACUUAGCGGCGAACGGGUGAGUAACACGUAAAGAACCUGCCUCAUAGACUGGGACAACUAUUGGAAACGAUAGCUAAUACCGGAUAACAGCAUUAACUGCAUGGUUGAUGUUUAAAAGUUGGUUAUGCUAACACUAUGAGAUGGCUUUGCGGUGCAUUAGCUAGUUGGUGGGGUAAAGGCCCACCAAGGCGACGAUGCAUAGCCGACCUGAGAGGGUGAUCGGCCACACUGGGACUGAGACACGGCCCAGACUCCUACGGGAGGCAGCAGUAGGGAAUCUUCCGCAAUGGGCGAAAGCCUGACGGAGCAACGCCGCGUGAGUGAAGAAGGAUUUCGGUUCGUAAAGCUCUGUUGUUAGGGAAGAAUGGAUAUGUAGUAACUAUACAU
rnacentral:rRNA from 1 species